ensembl:lncRNA
CGAUUCCGUAGCUGACUCCUCAGGAGGAGAUGGUCCUGGCACGUGCUGGACACUUUGGGACGUCCUGAAGUCUUCUUCACUGCAGUUGAACCUCUCUCUUUGAAGUUCUUGAUGAUCCGGAGAAGUUUUGGUAGAGAGGAAAAGGCACGGACGGGGUUCGAACCCGCGAUCUUCGGUUUACGAGACCGACGCCUUACCACUUGGCCACCGCGCCUGCGCCAUCUUGUGGUCUCUGUAUAAUAUGUUUACUAACUUGAACCACAACCAUGCCCAGGCUUCAGUCUUACAGCCUGAAGGGAGGAAUAAACAAGCACCUCUGGGAGAGUGGGAGACAGCUCAGAAAGGAGGGGUGAGCUGCAGAAUAACAGAAUAAAGAUGCGGAGAAGAGUCCGAGAGGAGCUCAGCUUUGGAUCGAAACCUGAGCUUGGUGCUAAGGUUUGCUAUCUCUGAGUAGAAGAAAUGGAGAAGUUCUCAGUUGUCAAAGUCAAUAGAGAAAAUCUUGUUCGCCCACUUUAUCCAGCCAUCAUGGGGGAUGGACUAGACGAAUGUCCCCACCAGCCCCCAAAACCCCAGGAUCCUGACAGAUGAGCCCUUAACUCCGGUGUGUGUGGUAUGGAGCCACUGAGACUAGAGGCCAGCUGCUAUUUUAUCCAACGAUUUUCCUUUUUUCCUUCUUCUUCUUUCCAAUAGUCACUGUUUUUGUACACGCAGCGUGCGGGAUCCUAACUGCCUCUUUGGUAGCCCUCCAUCGCCAGCCAAUGCGAUCCUAAAUGCAGCGGGACGAGUGGUCCAGCGAACAACACAAAGUGUGUAAGGUGAAUUUGCUUAAAGUGCGGUAGCGUCUACGCAAAUGCAAGUGGCAGGCAACACCAAGGAUGUUUUGAAUGGAAAAUCGGGCAUUGUGGUAAGAGUUUGCUGCCUCUGACCCUGGCUGCUAGCAGACAAGCAAGUGUGAAAUCUGUAUGAAAGGUACGAAUGGAUACAAUAAACUACCAGGAAUGGCACAAUUCUCUGUGGAUAGUAAACUUUCUAACUGGGAGAAUGCAGAAGAUGCCAUCUUUACUGUCACUUGAUCUCAUUACUGGACUAGAAAUGGUUUCUUUUGCCAGUGAAUUUACAUUCGGGGGAAGCCUGCCAAUGCAAGACAGAAGCAUCAACUUCCCCCAGGUGAGGUAUUUUAUAUUCAAUUUUAUAGAUGCAAACUUUUAAAUAUCACUAGAUUGCGUGAAUUAUGUUGUUUGAACACUACCCCAACCCUCACGUUUAGAUACAGCUCUUUCAGUCACUCUUUCUACAGCUACUGUAUCUAGUAAUAGUUUGUUUCUAGAAUUUUGUAGUCACUUUUAUAGUAACAACUCACACAUUCUUUAACCAAGACAAUUGUUGGUAUGGGGAAGCUUUCUGUUUAUUUCCAGAAGGAGUUUCAGUGUGCUAUUAUCAGCGCUUUGUAACAGUCAGUAACUUUUCCGCUAUGGUAGAGACUUCAGGACGGAGAUUUUUGUGCUUUCCUGUUUCUCUGUAACAUAACAAGCUGUUUUUUUUUUUCUUAACUUCAAGAGGGCAAAAUAAAGAUGUUGGUGAGAGAAGGACUGUUUAUAGCUGCUCUAACAUAACUGAUAACAGGAACUAACUUAUCUCACAGACACUUCACAACCUUAAACGUAACUAUAAGUGGUUAAAAAUUG